rnacentral:rRNA from 1 species
CAGCCGCGUAAUUCCAGCUCCAAUAGCGUAUAUUAAAGUUGUUGCAGUUAAAAAGCUCGUAGUUGAACUUCGGGGUUUACUCAUUGGUCAGGCUUAAUUGUCUGUACUGGUGAGAUGAAUCUCUACCUUCUGAGGAACUUUCAUGUCAUUUAUUUGGUGUGAUUGGAAAUCAGGACUGUUACUUUGAAAAAAUUAGAGUGUUUAAAGCAGGCUAACGUCUGAAUACAUUAGCAUGGAAUAAUGAAAUAGGACGGACUGAUUCUAUUUCGUUGGUUUCUAGGAUCACCGUAAUGAUUAAUAGGGAUAGUUGGGGGCAUUAGUAUUCAAUUGUCAGAGGUGAAAUUCUUGGAUUUAUUGAAGACUAACUACUGCGAAAGCAUUUGCCAAGGAUGUUUUCAUUAAUCAAGAACGAAAGUUAGGGGAUCGAAGACGAUCAGAUACCGUCGUAGUCUUAACCAUAAACUAUGCCGACUAGGGAUCGGACGAAGUUAAUUUUAUAAUGACGCGUUCGGCACCUUACG